GGGCCUGUAGCUCAAUCGGGAGAGCAGGGGAUUUAUAUCCCACAGGUUGCCGGUUCAAGUCCGGCCAGGUCCA
rnacentral:tRNA from 1 species